GCCCCGCCGGGGCCCAACGCCGGCCGUACAGCCCCGCCGGGCCCGAAUGCUGCCCGCAGUGCCCCGCAGGGCCCCGGUGCCGCUCGCUCGCCAAAUCCGCCCCGCCAAUGCCGCCCGCGCAUGCGCGGUAAGGGCGGGAGCGCGGCCGUGCCCGCGGCAGCGCUGCGUGGAUUUCUCCGAAACAGCGGAAUUUCGACCUUUCGGCCCCGCGCCGGGCGUCCCGCAAGGCUGAGGCGCCGCGGCUUCGGCCGCGGAAAGGAGCGCGGCGUGCAGAGAAGAGCCCGAACGGCCGCCGUGGCGCCUCCCGCUCGGAGCUCCCCGGGAAGGGCGUGAGGAGUCCCGCAGGAUUCCCGAGGUGUUGGGAAGGGACGGGGGCACAGAAUGCCGCUCUGUGUCACUGCUGUCAGUACCGCGGUGCUCCCGGACAGCUGGGGACACAUUCGGGACUGUUUGUGUGGGGUUUGCACCUCCCAGGUCUGGCUGUGCAGCUCCUCGGUGAAUGUUAAACUUCACAGCCUGGAGAUGCAGCGCCUGAGGCUCCUUCUGCAACUCCAUCUGGGAGCUCCUGGUUGGAGCAUCACCCUCUCCGCCUUUCAGAGCCCUUAACUCCAUCAGUACCACAGGGAAACUUGGAGCAAGCUGCUUUUCAGCACUAAUGCUAACAAAAGCUAUAGAGAAUCCUAAAGCAAGUUACCUUUUCCAUGCACUAAACAGUGCAGAGAAAUCCCGGAUUAAAAUGUUCCCUCUCUCGUCCCUGUGGCUCCGGUGUGGCUGUGGUCCAUUCCUGCUCCUUGUGCCCUGCUGGAUCCUACAUUGGGAAUGCUGAAUGAAUACUCACCGUGGGAACUGGAAUAGGAAUUGGACAUCCACGGGACCCCCAAGGAUCUCCGAGAGUUGAUGAGAUCCCGGGUUAUACCCAUGGAUCCAGGGUAACUCUGCAGAGAUUGAAUCAGUCCAUGACAAAGACUUUUUACAGGAAGACUGGGAGCACAAAUACAAGGAGAACUGGAGGACUGGGAGGACACAGUAAUGGAAAUAUGGAGAGAUUUACCAGUACAAAGUGUCAGAUGCUGAGUCUGGACUGACAAUGAGUGUGUCUGCAGGGAACUUGUAUAAACUACAAGUGGCUGAAGAGAAAUAGUCCCAAAUUUAUCACAGAACAGCUAUGGAUCAGAAGUACAAUACAGCCACUAAGGAGACAAAUGUGACCCUUUAAAUUUAAUGGAUCACAUUCUUUUCACACGAGAGAAGGAACUAUCAACACUGAAAUAAGUAUCCGGUGCCUUGGCCAUGAGCCACUAACUGGAAUAUUGUUCUUGGCCACUCUUUUUCAAGGAAAAUUAAUUCAAAUAAAUGCAAGCAGGAUGAACAGAAACAGAACUUUGCUUUUGAGAGGAGGCUAACAUUUAAUUUGGUCUAAGAAGUAAAGGGUUUAGGUCUCUCUAAGCUUCACUAGAAAAAUAAACUCAGCUGCAACAGUUCAACUGAUGACAGACACAGCAUUAUAAAUACACUGGCACAGACACCACAGCAAAGCUGCACUACCAACAGGUCUGAGACUGCCUUCCAAGAGGAGUCAGGGCCAAAUCCCAAAUAUCCUUAACACAGGCCUUUGCUGCUAAGUCUGGGCAAUUACAUCUCCUACACCCCCCGAGGGGAUUAACUCCUGCUCAGCCCCUCAUCCCCGUUUUGGCUGAACAUCCCAGGAACAUUCCCUGCAUUUCUCAGCCAACAUCCAGUAUCAGUUCCAUGCUCCAGCAGCCCGUCAGCCACUCCUGGCUUUGCCCAAAACAACUUCCAACAAAAACAUUGCACGUGCCCCUUUCAGGAAUGUGUGCCUUUCCCUCAGGGAUGAGCCAAAGGCUUUAGUUGUAAGUCCUGCUUUCCCAGCUCCAACGCCAGGCUAGUCACACACAAAGGGCUGCGCUGUGCUGGGCACAAACCCCUUUAGCUGUUCACCCUCACAUGCUGGCCGUGCACGGGCUGGCUCCCUUUGAGGUGUGAGAAAACCCCUGCUUUUGGAGAGGAAUGCUGCAGGGAGAGAUUCCUUCAGGAAGUCCUUACAAGGGAGGGUCUGUGAGCCCACCAACCAACUCAAGGAAGCGUUAAGGUUGGAAAAGACCUCGGAGAUCACCAAGUGCAACCAUCAACCAGCACCCCCACCACGGUCACCACUAAACCACAUCCUCCAAGGCCACAUCCACACGUUUUUGAACACUUCCAGGGACGGGGACUCCACCGCUGCCCUGGGUGGAAGGUGGAUCACCAGGAAAACCAGAUACAUUGAUCAUUCUGCAGUUUUCUCAACUUUGGAAAUCCUUCCUAAGCUUUCCAAGUGUUGUUCUUUAAACCAGCCAAGCCCCUGGCCUGGCUGUAUCAGGUGUGUCUCAUUGAAACACACCCCACCACUGCUGCCAUCCCACUAAAACACCUCUGCAGGGGGAGACACAAAAGAUUCCCAUUAUUUCUUUUUCCACAAACACAUUGCACUGUUCAAGGUUUUCAUCUUUGAAUUUAAUUAAAGAAAAAUGUCUCAAAGUGAUGAAGCAUGUGUGACUUCCAGCUUCUUUCAAUGGCACAAGCCAGUGCAGUAAAUUGUAGAAAGCAAGCUCAGUUAGAAUUUUAUUUUCAUUUAAAAUAAAAAAUAGAGAGAAAACUCUCCAGAUGUGAGGUCCUGUUAAAAAAGUGGCUGUUCACUUGUAAACAGAAUAAAAGUGUUAAGAACACAGUUUCAUACAGCUUAAACAAAACCACUUUUCAGAAGCAAUACAAGUAUGUUACAACACUGUAAGAACACUGAAAGCAGAAAACAAAAGAAUGGCAGAAGAAUCAUGUAACAUUGCUUACUAAAGUGAUAAAUAAUUUAUGGUAAAUGUUAAUAGCUUGACAUUUUUAUUGCUCCAAUGGUAGUGUGUUGACAAGAAAAUGUAGCGAACUGUCAGUGGGACAAUAAUAAACAUCCAUUUAUGGUUUUGCA